rnacentral:lncRNA from 1 species
AACAAUGAUAAUGAAAGUUUUUUCAUCGUUCUAAAUUUAUGCUACAGUUAUGGUCGUAAAAGAUUAAGAAAAAUCUUAUGAAUGCAAUUAUUCCACUGACACCUGCGAAAUUACCAAAAGAACUGACCAUCGCUGUUUAUUGUAUUUUUUUAAAUGUUCUAGUUAAACAAUCUAACACUUAA